UCUCCCUUGCCCUCCCCCAUCUAAGUACGGUACCUUGCACCCCAGUGCCUUCCUUAUCUUUUAGGGACCAGGCCAAGUCAGUCGCUGGGGAGACUCAGGGCCUGUUUAGGAAGCCACCUGGGGGGCCUCAGGGUGGCGAACCGCUGCUGCAAAGGCAAGCCAGUGGCGCCUGGCAGAGAUGCCACCAAAUGCUGCAGCCUCCAGAACCCGUGUGCCAGGUGUUGGAGGGAGGGACUGAAAUGUGUUAGAGGACGUGCAGGGCUAUGUGCCAUGGGGGCGGGCCAGGGUGCUCAAGAGCCAGAAUCCCGCAGGUGUGCACAUAUUGGGGGUGUACGAGGUGCAGGCCUGGGGAGCCAGCUGGGCUUCAGGAGUGCGGCGUCGGCCUCUGGGUGGGGGUUCCUGUUGGGGCUUCGUCCAGGGGUGGGUAGAUGUCAGCGACUCUGGGCUGGGAACGUGGGUGGGGUGUCUGUGAUGAGCAUAUGGGGAGUUGGAGAUGGUGCGGGCUGGCGAGGGGAGCUGUGUUAGUGCAGAUAUCCCAAGGAUGCGUUGGGUAUCUAUGUGUGUGUGUGCGUCUGUGUGUGUGUGUGUGUGUGUGCUGUGUGAACGCGCGCGCACGCUCACGCGCGCCUGGGUGUGUACUGAGGCGUGGCAGCGUCUGGGAUGGGUGCUGGCCUGAGUUGGGGACAGUAGUCGAUGGUGACUUAGCGGCUGCCGGGGCGUGCACUGCAGGGCCCUGGGUCCGCGGUGCACGGUUUGUGCACGCGCGUAUUUCAAGGUUUCAUGGUGUCAGGAGGGGACCCAGUGACACAGCCCCAGCGAGGAAGGACGGAGCUCCAGGUCACAGAUAAACCAUGGACUUGGCUCUUGGGACCUGUCCGGAGCCACAGGGACUGUGACUGGGACUUUGACCUCCCUAUGGCAUCCUUGGCCUGAGCUACCUGUUCUCUAUGGCCCCAGAAGAGAAGAGGGAAUCAGCGAUGGAGUCCCCAUGUCUAUAAACCUGAGAGGACUCUUCCUAGUCAACAGAACGAAGUUCCCAAGGUCUUGUGCUCUUGCUCUCAGUGACAGCUUGGGAUGCUGUCUCUGUCUUAGCCAAGCCUUCCCUCCCUAUCUCUGUGUCUUCUCCCCUCACUGCUGGCCCUGUCCUUCCAGCACCAGCCUUGCCUCCACCCAAGUCUCUAAAUUGCUCUUGAAGGUCUUUCCAUGAUACUUAGUAAUAACGUAUCAGGGAAAACAAUCUGAAAAAGAGUAUAUGUAUAUAUAUGCAUAUAUGUGUAUAUAUAUGUAUCUGAAUCACUGGGUUAUAUACUGAAGCUAACAUAACAUUGUAAAUCAACUAUAUUUCAAUAAAAUAAGGAAAUACCUUAUGAAAUUUUA